UAGGGAAUCUUCCACAAUGGGCGCAAGCCUGAUGGAGCAACACCGCGUGAGUGAAGAAGGGUUUCGGCUCGUAAAGCUCUGUUGUUAAAGAAGAACACGUAUGAGAGUAACUGUUCAUACGUUGACGGUAUUUAACCAGAAAGUCACGGCUGACUACGUGCCAC
rnacentral:rRNA from 1 species